UAGGGAAUCUUCCGCAAUGGACGAAAGUCUGACGGAGCAACGCCGCGUGAGUGAUGAAGGUUUUCGGAUCGUAAAACUCUGUUGUUAGGGAAGAACAAGUACGAGAGUAACUGCUCGUACCUUGUGACGGUACCUA
rnacentral:rRNA from 1 species